GACGAACGCUGGCAGCGUGCUUAACACAUGCAAGUCGAACGGAAAGGCCCUGCUUUUGUGGGGUGCUCGAGUGGCGAACGGGUGAGUAACACGUGAGUAACCUGCCCUUGACUUUGGGAUAACUUCAGGAAACUGGGGCUAAUACCGGAUAGGAGCUCCUGCUGCAUGGUGGGGGUUGGAAAGUUUCGGCGGUUGGGGAUGGACUCGCGGCUUAUCAGCUUGUUGGUGGGGUAGUGGCUUACCAAGGCUUUGACGGGUAGCCGGCCUGAGAGGGUGACCGGCCACAUUGGGACUGAGAUACGGCCCAGACUCCUACGGGAGGCAGCAGUGGGAAAUAUUGCACAAUGGGCGGAAGCCUGAUGCAGCAACGCCGCGUGCGGGAUGACGGCCUUCGGGUUGUAAACCGCUUUCGCCUGUGACGAAGCGUGAGUGACGGUAAUGGGUAAAGAAGCACCGGCUAACUACGUG
rnacentral:rRNA from 1 species